GCCAGACUCCUACGGGAGGCAGCAGUGGGGAAUAUUGCACAAUGGGGGAAACCCUGAUGCAGCAACGCCGCGUGAGUGAAGAAGUCAUUCGUGAUGUAAAGCUCUAUCAGCCGGGAAGAAAAUGACGGUACUUGAGUAAGAAGCCCCGGCUAACUACGUGCCAGCAGCCGCGGUAAUACGUAGGGGGCAAGCGUUAUCCGGAUUUACUGGGCGUAAAGCGCUCGUAGGCGGUAUGUCAAGUCAAGGGUGAAAUCCCCGCGCUCAACGUGGGAACUGCCUUUGAAACUGGCAAACUGGAGUGUGUGAGAGGAUAGUGGAAUUCCAGGUGUAGGAGUGAAAUCCGUAGAUAUCUGGAGGAACAUCAGUGGCGAAGGCGACUAUCUGGCACAUAACUGACGCUGAGGAGCGAAAGCGUGGGUAGCAAACAGGAUUAGAUACCCUAGUA
rnacentral:rRNA from 1 species